rnacentral:rRNA from 1 species
UACGUAGGGUGCAAGCGUUGUCCGGAAUCAUUGGGCGUAAAGAGCGUGUAGGCGGCUUGGCAAGUCCGCUGUGAAAGUCCAGGGCUCAACCCUGGAAAGCCGGUGGAAACUGUCAAGCUUGAGUCCGGAAGAGGCGAGUGGAAUUCCUGGUGUAGCGGUGAAAUGCGCAGAUAUCAGGAGGAACACCAAUGGCGAAGGCAGCUCGCUGGGACGGUACUGACGCUGAGACGCGAAAGCGUGGGGAGCAAACAGG